ACGUGCUGGAAGUGCGAGCGGAUGGU
rnacentral:piRNA from 1 species